UUACCAGCCAAGGCACAGGUCAGAGUAUUUUGCUCCAAACUGUUUUACUGAAUAUUGCAAUUGUCAUUAGUUAAUCAUUUAUUGCUUAACUUUCAGUUUGUUCAAAACUGUUUUUAUUAAUAUUGCUAUGGUAACUGUAGUUAGACACCUUAUGCUAGACAUUUAGUUUUAAUCCUAACUGUUUUUUCUGGAUACCACUUUAAUGAAACUUUAUUAAUUGACUUUCAGUUUGCUCCAACUGUUUUUAUUAAUAUUGCUAUGGUCACUUUAGUUAGAUUUUUAAUGCUAGACAUUCAGUUUUUGCUCCAAACUGUUUCUGGAUAUGCAUGGGCACUUUUGUUAAACUUUAUUAGCUUGUCCUGCAAUUUUGGCCUAAACGUUUUUCAUUAUUUUGCACUUGCCUUCCAUUUGGAUUUGUAUAGUGUGAUAUUCUCCCCCUGUUACCCUUCCCCUGAAUUAAUCCUGUAUUUUCUGCUUUAUUAGCCUGUUUUCUGUUGCUGGCACCUUUUCUUUCCUAUGCUUUACUCUGGUCUCGCAUGGAUCGCGGUUUUUUCCCGCGAGCACGCUUUUUAUUCAUUGGUGCUGGGACUUCAGGGCAGGUCUCUGGGGGUUGGGGAUGUCGGGGGGACUCUUUUCCAUGCCGGCAGACCGCGAUCGUAUCCUCGAUCGUGGGCCGCACGGCACUUUUGCGCGCGAACGGCGGCCAUCUUGAAUCUCGCGGCACUCGCGAGAUUCACGUCGGCCAUGUCGUUUGGCCAGUUCGUGAUUCCCACGAACUGGCGGCUAGUUCUGU